CUUAUGGGACCACUACCAUAUAUCCGAUCUGUCUGAUUCAAAGGUCAUUAAGCAGUGUAUGACUUAUAAAAGCCUCCAAAACAGUUAAAGGCAACAGUGUUAAAGCUGGAAAGAGCUUAUGGAAUCUGCUACACCUGGGCCAGGACCAGAGUGAAUUGUCAGCUCUCUGAGUGGCCACCAGACUGAAUCCCAAAAUGGCAAACAUCCCCCCACUUCAGCUCUUGCUUGUAGCCCAUAAUCAAGUUUACAUAAACAGAAAGAUCCAAAGAGCAAGGAGUGCUAAAUCCUGCCAAGAGAGAGACAACGCUUCUCUGCCCGCAACUGUUUCAUCUCGGCACUCAAGGCUCUGCAAACCACUGUGUGGAAACAUUUGACUCAGGGCAGCCCGUGAGAAGGAAGGAGGCAGGAGCGCCUUUGCAGCAUGCGAGCUACAGUGAGCGUGGCCGGGGCUUGGUGACACCCAGUCCCUCCCUUCUCUGCCUCCCGGUCUUGGGAGUCAGUUAAGUGUUAUAAACUCUUAAUCACACCCUUGUUUUCCCAAAUAAA